GGGGAUUUAGCUCAGCGGUAGAGCGCUUGCCUAGCACGCACAAGGCCCUGGGUUCGGUCCCCAGCUCCG
rfam:Rattus norvegicus chromosome 3, whole genome shotgun sequence.